CACCCUCACCUUCCUUUAUUAAAAUGUAUACCUCAAUUCAAGAAGGGUUAGAAAAACGAUCCUCAUCAGGGACAAUAAAAGAACCGCAAGUGCUAAUAUGUCAAAUUUAAAAUGCUAACGUUCUGACUAUUACAUAAACCCUCCCACAGUUAUUCAAUGCUGCAUGUGCUUACCCUAACUGCUUAAACAUCAGACAAUUUAGUUAAUUGUGUGCUUUAGCAACGGUCAGAAUAAAUCUGGCUAUAAUUACAAUAAUUUGGAAUUAACGUAUCUUUAUAACUGUGUCUUUUCAUUUUGAGAGAUUAAUGCAAUGUCUCUGUAAUAUAUUCUGCUUGCAGCUGAGAAACUGCAGGUGGAUCCUGCUAGCAACAUAUGCAUGUGGAAGCUAGCAACAUAUGCAGGGAGACAGUCCUCUAGCUUUUAGCACCUCAUCUUACCGAUUCAACAUUUUUUGAAGAGGAAGCCAAUGUGGUGGAAGACUGAAGACAGAAGGAAAAAGAAAUGGAAGGAAACAGAGACAUAAGUAGAGUAAUCGUUUUGAAGUAGGCACUGUCUUGUAGGUUGGCUUAAAUAUGACUCCCAGAUUUGCAUCUACGAAAGACAAAUGGGCUAGAGAUCUUUGACCAGAGAAGUUAAACUACAAUUCCAAGAUGCAACAGGAAAAAGCCAUGUUGUCACA